rnacentral:rRNA from 1 species
AUUGAACGCUGGCGGCAUGCUUUACACAUGCAAGUCGAACGGCAGCGCGGGCUUCGGCCUGGCGGCGAGUGGCGAACGGGUGAGUAAUGCAUCGGAACGUGCCCAGUAGUGGGGGAUAGCCCGGCGAAAGCCGGAUUAAUACCGCAUACGACCUGAGGGUGAAAGCGGGGGACCGAAAGGCCUCGCGCUAUUGGAGCGGCCGAUGUCGGAUUAGCUAGUUGGUGGGGUAAAGGCUUACCAAGGCGACGAUCCGUAGCUGGUCUGAGAGGACGACCAGCCACACUGGAACUGAGACACGGCCCAGACUCCUACGGGAGGCAGCAGUGGGGAAUUUUGGACAAUGGGGGCAACCCUGAUCCAGCCAUGCCGCGUGCGGGAAGAAGGCCUUCGGGUUGUAAACCGCUUUUGUUCGGGAAGAAGUCCAGUGGGCUAAUACCCCGGGGGGAUGACGGUACCGGAAGAAUAAGCACCGGCUAACUACGUG